CUUCCCAAGCCGGAACGAAAAAGCAGGAAUGAAUCGUUUCAGGAAUGCUUUUGGCUUUGUGGUUGUGAUGUUGUGUUUGCAAGUUGUCUGACGCGUUAUCAGACAUGGCGGUGGCGUAAGCCCUGCCGUUUUUCACUUCCUGUACAUUUACCCUGUCUGUCCAUAGUGAUUUAGUAGCACCGCCUAUUGCGGUGCUUUUUUUU
rnacentral:other from 1 species